CACGUAGGGUGCGAGCGUUGUCCGGAAUUAUUGGGCGUAAAGAGCUCGUAGGCGGUGUGUCGCGUCGGCCGUGAAAACUUGCAGCUUAACUGUGGGCGUGCGGUCGAUACGGGCAUCACUGGAGUUCGGCAGGGGAGACUGGAAUUCCUGGUGUAGCGGUGAAAUGCGCAGAUAUCAGGAGGAACACCGGUGGCGAAGGCGGGUCUCUGGGCCGUAACUGACGCUGGAGGAGCGAAAGCAUGGGGAGCGAACAGG
rnacentral:rRNA from 1 species